GAUGAACGCUAGCGAUAGGCUUAACACAUGCAAGUCGAGGGGCAGCAUGGUCUUAGCUUGCUAAGACUGAUGGCGACCGGCGCACGGGUGCGUAACGCGUAUGCAACUUGCCUCACAGAGGGGGAUAACCCGCCGAAAGACGGACUAAUACCGCGUACACUUGGGAUAGGGCAUCCUGACCCAAGGAAAUGAAAUUCGCUGUGAGAUAGGCAUGCGUCCCAUUAGCUAGUUGGUGAGGUAACGGCUCACCAAGGCGACGAUGGGUAGGGGAACUGAGAGGUGGACCCCCCACACGGGACCUGGGACACGGCCCAGGCUCCCACGGGGGGAAGGAGGGGGGAAUAUUGGUAAAGGGGGGAGAGCCUAAACCAGCAAGGUGGGGUGAAGGAUGACUGUCUUAUGGAUUGUAAACUUUUUUUAUAGGGGAAUAACAAGGGCCACGGGUGGCUCCCGGGAUGUCCCGUAAGAAAAAGCAGCGGCUAACUCCGU
rnacentral:rRNA from 1 species